ACACAUGCAAGUCGANCGGCACCANGANCUAACUUGCUACAUUGAUGGGGAAUGGGGAACGGGUGAUUAAUACAUCUGCACUUGCCCGGUAGAGGGGGAUAACUAGUCGAAACAUUACCCAAAACCGCAUACGACCUGAGGGUGAGAGUNNGGGACCCCAUGGCCUCAUGCUAUAGGAGCGGCCAAUGUCUGUUUAUCUAGUUGGAGGGGUACAGGCCCACCAAGGUGACUAUCAGUUCCUGGACGGAGAGGACCAACAGCCACACUGGGACUGAGACAAGGCCCAUACUCCAAGGGGAAGCAGCAAUUUGGAAUUUUGGGCAAUGGGGGCAACCCUGAUCCACCAUUGCCGCGUUUGUGUGGACAACGCCUUCGGGUUGUUUUGCACUUUUGUCCGGAAAGCCUUCUCACUUACAAAGAUUAGGUGUGGAUCCCGGUAACCGGAAGAAUAGGAC
rnacentral:rRNA from 1 species